rnacentral:rRNA from 1 species
AUUGAACGCUGGCGGAAUGCUUUACACAUGCAAGUCGAACGGCAGCACGGACUUCGGUCUGGUGGCGAGUGGCGAACGGGUGAGUAAUGUAUCGGAACGUGCCCAGUCGUGGGGGAUAACGUAGUGAAAAUUACGCUAAUACCGCAUACGAUCUAUGGAUGAAAGCGGGGGAUCGCAAGACCUCGCGCGAUUGGAGCGGCCGAUAUCAGAUUAGGUAGUUGGUGGGGUAAAGGCCCACCAAGCCAACGAUCUGUAGCUGGUCUGAGAGGACGACCAGGCACACUGGACCUGAGACACGGUCCAGACUCGUACGGGAGGCAGCAGUGGGGAAUUUUGGACAAUGGGCGAAAGCCUGAUCCGGCCAUUCCGCGUGCAGCAUGAAGGCCCUCGGGUUGUAAACUGCUUUUGUACAGAACGAAAAGGUUUCUACUAAUACUAGGAGCUCAUGACGGUACUGUAAGAAUAAGCACCGGCUAACUACGUGCCAGCAGCCGCCGUAA